GCUACAGGAAGGCAGAAAUUGCGCCAAAAUUUGAAUGAGAAUAUACUACUGAUUUUACGAUGUGAGGAGAGAGGCCAUAUUGUGAAAAGAGCUCACUUCACCUUAGCUGUUUUCGCAAUAGAAAUGCUAUCACAAGAUGAUGCCCACUCAAUACAAUAACACGGUGUGGUGUAUGAUUGUUGUACAAAGUUUGCGUAGAAGUGGAAGACUACAAGCUUAUCGGUACGACUUACAGAUUGCAGAGAACUUGAUCAAACGCCUUCAUGCAAUUAUUCCUUGAUGGGAACUUGUGACAUCAUGCCAAGUGAUGCUAAAGUUAACCGAUCUACAGCACCAGAUGACAUACAGCCAACACAACAGUGUCUAGUUCAUUGUCAAAAGAAAUGUUUCUGUGCCUCCUUUGUUAAAA